UUUGAUGGCGACCGGCGCACGGGUGAGUAACACGUAUCCAACCUGCCGAUGACUCGGGGAUAGCCUUUCGAAAGAAAGAUUAAUACCCGAUGGCAUAGUUCUUCCGCAUGGUAGAACUAUUAAAGAAUUUCGGUCAUCGAUGGGGAUGCGUUCCAUUAGGUUGUUGGCGGGGUAACGGCCCACCAAGCCUUCGAUGGAUAGGGGUUCUGAGAGGAAGGUCCCCUACAUUGGAACUGAGACACGGUCCAA
rnacentral:rRNA from 1 species